rnacentral:rRNA from 1 species
GGGUGAGUAACACGUGGGUAACCUGCCUGUAAGACUGGGAUAACUCCGGGAAACCGGAGCUAAUACCGGAUAGUUCCUUGAACCGCAUGGUUCAAGGAUGAAAGACGGUUUCGGCUGUCACUUACAGAUGGACCCGCGGCGCAUUAGCUAGUUGGUGAGGUAACGGCUCACCAAGGCGACGAUGCGUAGCCGACCUGAGAGGGUGAUCGGCCACACUGGGACUGAGACACGGCCCAGACUCCUACGGGAGGCAGCAGUAGGGAAUCUUCCGCAAUGGACGAAAGUCUGACGGAGCAACGCCGCGUGAGUGAUGAAGGUUUUCGGAUCGUAAAGCUCUGUUGUUAGGGAAGAACAAGUGCAAGAGUAACUGCUUGCACCUUGACGGUACCUAACCAGAAAGCCACGGCUAACUACGUGCCAGCAGCCGCGGUAAUACGUAGGUGGCAAGCGUUGUCCGGAAUUAUUGGGCGUAAAGGGCUCGCAGGCGGUUUCUUAAGUCUGAUGUGAAAGCCCCCGGCUCAACCGGGGAGGGUCAUUGGAAACUGGGAAACUUGAGUGCAGAAGAGGAGAGUGGAAUUCCACGUGUAGCGGUGAAAUGCGUAGAGAUGUGGAGGAACACCAGUGGCGAAGGCGACUCUCUGGUCUGUAACUGACGCUGAGGAGCGAAAGCGUGGGGAGCGAACAGGAUUAGAUACCCUGGUAGUCCACGCCGUAAACGAUGAGUGCUAAGUGUUAGGGGGUUUCCGCCCCUUAGUGCUGCAGCUAACGCAUUAAGCACUCCGCCUGGGGAGUACGGUCGCAAGACUGAAACUCAAAGGAAUUGACGGGGGCCCGCACAAGCGGUGGAGCAUGUGGUUUAAUUCGAAGCAACGCGAAGAACCUUACCAGGUCUUGACAUCCUCUGACAACCCUAGAGAUAGGGCUUUCCCUUCGGGGACAGAGUGACAGGUGGUGCAUGGUUGUCGUCAGCUCGUGUCGUGAGAUGUUGGGUUAAGUCCCGCAACGAGCGCAACCCUUGAUCUUAGUUGCCAGCAUUCAGUUGGGCACUCUAAGGUGACUGCCGGUGACAAACCGGAGGAAGGUGGGGAUGACGUCAAAUCAUCAUGCCCCUUAUGACCUGGGCUACACACGUGCUACAAUGGACAGAACAAAGGGCUGCGAGACCGCAAGGUUUAGCCAAUCCCACAAAUCUGUUCUCAGUUCGGAUCGCAGUCUGCAACUCGA